rnacentral:rRNA from 1 species
GGUGAGUAAUAUAUCGGAACGUACCCUGGANUGGGGGAUAACGUAGCGAANGNNACGCUAAUACCGCAUACGAUCUAAGGAUGAAAGUGGGGGAUCGCAAGACCUCAUGCUCGUGGAGCGGCCGAUAUCUGAUUAGCUAGUUGGUAGGGUAAAAGCCUACCAAGGCAUCGAUCAGUAGCUGGUCUGAGAGGACGACCAGCCACACUGGAACUGAGACACGGUCCAGACUCCUACGGGAGGCAGCAGUGGGGAAUUUUGGACAAUGGGCGAAAGCCUGAUCCAGCAAUGCCGCGUGAGUGAAGAAGGCCUUCGGGUUGUAAAGCUCUUUUGUCAGGGAAGAAACGGUGAGAGCUAAUAUCUCUUGCUAAUGACGGUACCUGAAGAAUAAGCACCGGCUAACUACGUGCCAGCAGCCGCGGUAAUACGUAGGGUGCAAGCGUUAAUCGGAAUUACUGGGCGUAAAGCGUGCGCAGGCGGUUUUGUAAGUCUGAUGUGAAAUCCCCGGGCUCAACCUGGGAAUUGCAUUGGAGACUGCAAGACUAGAAUCUGGCAGAGGGGGGUAGAAUUCCACGUGUAGCAGUGAAAUGCGUAGAUAUGUGGAGGAACACCGAUGGCGAAGGCAGCCCCCUGGGUCAAGAUUGACGCUCAUGCACGAAAGCGUGGGGAGCAAACAGGAUUAGAUACCCUGGUAGUCCACGCC